GACAGAGGGUGGCAAACGUUGUUCGGAAUUACUGGGCGUAAAGGCGAAGUGUAGGCGGUGUGGUAAGUCGGAUGUGAAAGCCCCGGGCUCAAACCCGGGGAAGUGCACUCGAUACUGCCACGCUAGAGUAUCGGAGAGGUUGGUGGAAUUCUCGGGUGUAGAGGUGAAAUUCGUAGAUAUCGAGAGGAACACCGGUGGCGAAGGCGGCCAACUGGACGAAUACUGACGCUGAGACUCGAAAAGCGUGGGGGAGCAAAACAGG
rnacentral:rRNA from 1 species